UUUUGUUUCGCAGGGUUAUCCACAGUCGGCUAAUCCUCUUUGCUCUGUCCGCACAUUAAACGAUAGAAAAUUACGUCUCAAAAAGAUAAUUUUUUUCUAUGGAGGGACAAAGAAAAAGUGGAUCCAACAUUAAAUUUUAUCAUUCCAAGAUUGGUGAACAAAAUCAAUGAGUUGGAAGAAGACUUUUGACUUAAACAGGUCCAAAUUGAUAACUUGACGCGGGAGAAGAGGCUCAAUGAAAGAUGGAGAUGGUGUAGGUUCACUAGGAAGAUCUUUGUAUGUAUUUUGAUUUGUGUUGCUGCUAUGUUCAUUAGCAAUAAAUCAACUGAAAGUAGUUGCUAGAUCUGGUCUACUAUGGUGUAAAUUUUGUAUACCUCUCUCUAAAUAUAUCAGAUUAUGUUUUG